CUCGUGCCGUCCACCGAACGGUCGGCAGGCGAUCCGCGUUGGUCGCGCUGGGUGGUAUGGUUCCCCAGAGGCCGGUUCUUGUGCUGCCUACCCCUUCAGGGGAAGAGUUCCAAACUCGAUGUAAGCCUCCAUCCGGCGCCCUCCAAAGGGCGCGGGAGGACAACGGAGCACCCCCCGCGUUCCACCGAGCCUCCUCGGUCGCGUGGCCCGCGGGGACGUGCGAUGCUCUCGGACCCAGCGAACGCCGUGGGCGAGGACUCACGUCCCGGUCCCAAGUGAAGCAACGGUAUAACGCCGACGGCCGCUCCCGCCCCCCGACCGCCCCGGCGGCGCGGGGCGGGCGAAGGCGCGGCGUCGCUGAGGAAUGCUAC
rnacentral:misc_RNA from 1 species